rnacentral:lncRNA from 1 species
UAGUGUCCAUUGAGCAAGGAGCCUUUGUAUCAAGCCAUGGCAUUGUUGAAAAUAUUUUAAUUGGCCAGAAAGUUACGCACUCAUUGAUGCAACCCACAAGGGCAAGGAGUCUAAUGGCUCUUAAAUUUGACAUCGAAAAGGCCUAUUGGCCUUUUGUAUUCUGAAGCACUUUGGGUUUCAUCGCCAAUUUAUCAAUUGGGUGCACACAUGUACAACUGAUUUCAAUAUCUUAUACUUGUCAAUGACUCCCCAACUGAUUGUUCCAUCCAACUAAAUGCCUAACACAAGGAUGCAUUAUCUCUCUACUUACUCAGUCUAUGCUCCAAGAUCUUCUCUAAAUUUCUUAAAUGAGCAGUGCAACUCUACUUUUUUGCAAGCUUACAAAUCGGGUAGAGGGGCCCC